rnacentral:tRNA from 1 species
AGCAGCGUGGCUCAGUGGAAAAGACCCUGGGCUUCGGACUCAGAGGUCAUGGGUUCGACUCCCGGCUCUGCCA